rnacentral:rRNA from 1 species
GAACCGUCCAAACGUUAUUCGGAAUUACUGGGCUUAAAGGGUGCGUAGGCUGCGCUGUAAGUCAGGUGUGAAAUCCCUCAGCUCAACUGAGGAAUUGCGCUUGAUACUGCAGUGCUCGAGGGAGAUAGGGGUUAGCGGAACUGAUGGUGGAGCGGUGAAAUGCGUUGAUAUCAUCAGGAACACCGGUGGCGAAAGCGGCUAACUGGAUCUCUUCUGACGCUGAGGCACGAAAGCUAGGGUAGCGAACGGGAUUAGAUACCCCGGUAGUCCUAGCCGUAAACGAUGAGCACUUGAUCGGAGACUCCUCCAUAGGUUUCCGGUCGUAGCGAAAGUGUUAAGUGCUCCGCCUGGGGAGUAUGGUCGCAAGGCUGAA